GUGCUCUGCGAGCCGAAUCAUGGAUCACACUGACAAUGAGUUACAAGGCACUAAUAGUUCUGGAUCCUUGGGUGGUCUUGAUGUUCGCAGACGAAUUCCUAUAAAGCUCAUCUCCAAACAAGCAAACAAAGCGAAACCUGCACCGCGAACUCAAAGAACUAUAAACAGGAUGCCUGCAAAGGCUCCACCUGGUGAUGAAGGAUUUGAUUAUAAUGAAGAAGAACGGUAUGACUGUAAAGGGGGUGAGCUGUUUGCAAAUCAGCGAAGAUUUCCUGGACACCUUUUUUGGGACUUUCAGAUAAACAUCUUAGGUGAAAAGGAUGAUACACCAGUUCAUUUCUGUGACAAGUGUGGAUUGCCUAUUAAAAUCUAUGGGAGAAUGGUAAGUAUAAUUAAAUAUUGUUUUUGUAAGUAAGCAUUUGCAUAGAGGUGGGGUUCUGAAAUUUAGAUAGGUUUAUCAUUGUUUAAUGACUAAGUUUGCGAAAUUUUAAAUAAGUAUGAAAUAACUAAGGGAAGUAUUGGAAUACUAUGAAUUUAAUAUGAUUAUCUUGACAAAUUGUUGAAUUCUUAUAAAAUAUUAAAUAAAA
rnacentral:sRNA from 1 species